rnacentral:lncRNA from 1 species
UUACUCUCUUCUCAGUAAUCCAGAAAGACAACCUGAUUUACAUAAAUUAUGAGACUGAAGCUAUUGUGCUAGAGGCUGGAACUCUGAAUAGGAAAAGUACAUUAUUUCAUUAAAGGGCUAAUUAUUCCUCUUUCCUUUUUUUAGCACGGCUUAAGGUGAAUCUUCCUUCUGGAGGGGUGGUCCCUUUGUCAGGAUGAGGAAGAAUUGACACCGAUGUUUAUAAAUCUUUUCUGUGGUGCUGGGAAUUGAUCCUGGAGCCUCAUGCAUGCAAGAUCAGUACUAUCGAGUGCACCGGCAUCUCUCUAAGUCUCCCUGGGCUUGGUUCGUGGUGCCAGGCGGCGAGGACUCCGAGAGCGCUCUGGCCCUGGAAGGGGCUGGAAGGAGAGGAUGCCUUCGGAGGCGCGGAACCCCAAAGUAAGUCCCUUUCAUUUUGUCUGGUCAGCACCUCGCCUGCAGCCGCCCUCACAGGGUCUUGGCGGAGCGGGGACGUGGC